GUGAACGCUGGCGGCGUGCUUAACACAUGCAAGUCGAACGGUAACAGGAAGUAGCUUGCUACUUUGCUGACGAGUGGCGCACGGGUGAGUAAACUAUAGUUAAUGUGCCUCGAAGACUGGGAUAGCCACUGGAAACGGUGAUUAAUACUAGAUACUCCUUCUCAUUACAAGAUGAGUUGGGAAAGUUUUUUCGCUAAGAGAUCGGCCUAUAUCCUAUCAGUUAGUUGGUGAGGUAAUGGCUCACCAAGGCAAUGACGGGUAGCGGGUCUGAGAGGAUGAUCCGCCACACUGGUACUGAGACACGGACCAGACUCCUACGGGAGGCAGCAGUGAGGAAUAUUGCACAAUGGGGGAAACCCUGAUGCAGCAACGCCGCGUGGAGGAUGACGCAUUUCGGUGUGUAAACUCCUUUUAUAUGUCAAGAAAAUGACGGUAGCAUAUGAAUAAGCACCGGCUAACUCCGU
rnacentral:rRNA from 1 species